rnacentral:rRNA from 1 species
CCUACGGGAGACAGCAGUAGGGAAUUUUCGUCAAUGGGCGCAAGCCUGAACGAGCAAUGCCGCGUGAACGAGGGAGGUCUUCGGAUCGUAAAGUUCUGUUGAAGGAGAAAAAGAGCGGAGAGAGGAAAUGCUUUCUGAUUGAUAUUACCCUUCGAGGAAGUCACGGCUAACUACGUGCCAGCAGCCGCGGUAAUACGUAGGUGGCGAGCGUUAUCCGGAAUGAUGGGGCGUAAAGGGUGCGUAGGCGGCCUGCUAAGUCUGGAGUGAAAGGUACCGGCUCAACCGGUACAGGCUCUGGAAACUGGCGGGCUAGAGAGCAGGAGAGGGCGGUGGAACUCCAUGUGUAGCGGUAAAAUGCGUAGAUAUAUGGAAGAACACCAGUGGCGAAGGCGGCCGCCUGGCCUGUUACUGACGCUGAGGCACGAAAGCGUGGGGAGCAAAUAGGAUUAGAUACCCUUGUAGUC